rnacentral:rRNA from 1 species
GCACCACCGGCCCGUCUCAGCCGCAGCGUCGGCGAGGCGGAGCAAGAGCGUACUUGUUGGGACCCGAAAGAUGGUGAACUAUGCCUGAGCAGGACGAAGCCAGAGGAAACUCUGGUGGAGGUCCGCAGCGAUUCUGACGUGCAAAUCGAUCGUCUGACUUGGGUAUAGGGGCGAAAGACUAAUCGAACCAUCUAGUAGCUGGUUCCCGUCGAAGUUUCCCUCAGGAUAGCUGGCGCUCAUUCACGAGCAGUUUUAUCCGGUAAAGCGAAUGAUUAGAGGCCUUGGGGACUUACCGUCCUCAACCUAUUCUCAAACUUUAAAUGGGUAAGACGUCCGACUCGCUCGAUUGGAGUUGGGCAUACGAAUGCGAGUGCCAAGUGGGCCAUUUUUGGUAAG